GAUGAACGCUAGCUACAGGCUUAACACAUGCAAGUCGAGGGGAAACGAUAUUGGAAGCUUGCUUCUGAUAGGCGUCGACCGGCGCACGGGUGAGUAACGCGUAUCCAACCUGCCCAUCACUUGGGGAUAACCUUGUGAAAGUAAGACUAAUACCCAAUGACGUCUCUAGAAGACAUCUGAAAGAGAUUAAAGAUUUAUCGGUGAUGGAUGGGGAUGCGUCUGAUUAGCUUGUUGGCGGGGUAACGGCCCACCAAGGCGACGAUCAGUAGGGGUUCUGAGAGGAAGGUCCCCCCACAUUGGAACUGAGACACGGUCCAAACUCCUACGGGAGGCAGCAGUGAGGAAUAUUGGGUCCAAUGGACCGAGAGUCUGAACCAGCCAAGUAGCGUGCAGGAAGACGGCCCUAUGGGUUGUAAACUGCUUUUAUAAGGGAAUAAAGUGAGUCUCGUGAGACUUUUUGCAUGUACCUUAUGAAUAAGGACCGGCUAAUUCCGUGCCAGCAG
rnacentral:rRNA from 1 species